GACGAACGCUGGCGGCGUGCUUAACACAUGCAAGUCGAACGGAAAGGCCUCUUUCGGGGGGUACUCGAGUGGCGAACGGGUGAGUAACACGUGAGUAACCUGCCCUUGACUUUGGGAUAACUUCGGGAAACUGGGGCUAAUACCGGAUAGGAGCUCCUGCUGCAGGGUGGGGGUUGGAAAGUUUCGGCGGUUGGGGAUGGACUCGCGGCUUAUCAGCUUGUUGGUGGGGUAGUGGCUUACCAAGGCUUUGACGGGUAGCCGGCCUGAGAGCGUGACCGGCCACAUUGGGACUGAGACACGGCCCAGACUCCUACGCGAGGCAGCAGUGGGGAAUAUUGCACCAUGGGUGUAAGCAUGAUGCAGCAACGCCCUGUGCGGGAUGACGGCCUUCGGGUUGUAAACCGCUUUCGUUCAUGACGAAGCUUUGUGUGACGGUAGUGGGUAAAGAAGCACCGGCUAACUACGUG
rnacentral:rRNA from 1 species